UUCGCAAUGCCCGAAAGGGUGACGAAGCGACGCCGCGUGCGGGAAGAAGGCCUUCGGGUUGUAAACCGCUGUCGGGAGUUAAGAAAUGUAAGGAUGUUAAUAGCAUCUUUGCUUGACUAAGGCUCCGGAGGAAGCCACGGCUAACUCUGUGCCAGCAGCCGCGGUAAUACAGAGGCGGCAAGCGUUGUUCGGAAUUAUUGGGCGUAAAGAGCACGUAGGCGGCUAUGUAAGUCGGUUGUGAAAGCCUUCCGCUCAACGGAAGAACAGCAUCCGAUACUGCAUGGCUUGAGUGCGGGAGGGGAGAGUGGAACUUCUGGUGGAGCGGUGAAAUGCGUAGAUAUCAGAAGGAACGCCGGCGGCGAAAGCGGCUCUCUGGCCCAUAACUGACGCUGAGUGUGCGAAAGCUAGGGGAGCAAACGGGAUUAGAUACCCCGGUAGUCCUAGCCGUAAACGAUGGGCACUAAGUAGAGGGGUUUU
rnacentral:rRNA from 1 species